rnacentral:lncRNA from 1 species
GUCUGAGUUGAGCUCCAUACCCUGCCUACACAUUCAGUUGUACUUGUCCAUAUCCAGUGCCCUUCGCUUGGGUUCAGUAAAGCUUCCCCUUGCCCUCAGGUUUUAGCUCGAGACCACUGCGUAAGUGCUGGAAUUCCUGUGUUCCCGCUAGUACUCACCUCUCCCCAGUCACCAAACUUUGCCCCUCACAGAAACUUGCACGCCAUCUUCCUGCCAGUGGUGACCACGCCCACCCGUUCUUAACCUCACCAUGGCCAGGGUUCGUGGAGAUUGUCUCGGCCGUGUUGUGCCCGUUCCUUGUUUCUCACAGGUCAGUGAAGCUCACACCAUUUACUGCUUGAACUCUACCACUAUUGGUUGCCUGGAACUAGGUGUGAAAUUUGCUCAAACAUAGGCUGUCAGAUUUCUGGAUCCCAGACUUAGUGCAUAAGGCUGAAACUAGGUUUUAGUGUGUUGAGCUCCACUUUGGUGCUUCGUAAAAAUUGUUCUAAAUGUUUUCAACAUAGGGGUGCUAUACCAAAGUAGUAGAGCUAUAUCUAAGGAAUAACUUUGGUAAUGUGAGCUUGGUCUGUUGAUGUGUAAAAGUUGGAGAAAAGGUUGGUUAAAGUUGGACUGUCAGGCUGGACACAACUGAAUUUUUUUAUUCAGUUCUAUGAACUGAAUUGCAGCAGUAUGCCUAGUUUGGAAUUCAUUUGUGACUGAUUCAUGGGGUUUUGGAUUAAGGGUCCCAUAGCAAAGUUGUAGACCAUAGUAAAGUGAACAAGUUUGCUAAAGUGAGAUGGACCUGAUUCCACAUAAAUUUGGGAGUAAAAGUAGCCAAAAGAUGGACUGUCAGGUGUUGGGAUUCAGAUUUAGAAUAAUAUUUAAGUCUGAAUUUGUGUGUUUUUAUUCAAAUUUGGGUCCUUGUGGUAAUUAAUCCAAGAAGAAUUGGGGUAAGAAUUCUAUAGCAAAGUGAAAGACCAUUUCAAGGAGAGAAAGUGUCAUACAGAGAGUUGGCUUGCUACUGUAAAGAAUUUAGAGAAAAAGGAGUUGAAAAACUCUCUGUCAGAUUAAACAUGUGCUGUUUUAGAUUCUAAAAUUGAAAUGUUUCAGUGUUUUUGUUAUGUUUUGGUGCACCAUAGCUUGUGUUUUGUAUGAUUUUGACCUUGGACUACUGUAGCAAACUGGUAGUGCUAUGGUUUGGGAGCAGGCUUGGCCAACUAAGUUGGUCUGGUGCUAUAGAAAAUUCUAAAAAACAUGGGACAAAGUUUAGUGGCUGUAUAAAAUCAAAAGCUCUCUGGUAAAGUUGGUUUUCGAAUUUUUAGGUUGGUUACCAAAUAUUAAGGGAUUUAAAAGUGCUCUUGGAAGGACUGUUUGGAUUUUAGAAAUAAAAGUACAGUGCCAAAACUUAUGGAAAUUUCUGAGUAACCUUGUUUUGGUCAUUUGAGCUUGUGGUAAAAGUUUGAGGCUGUUUGUAAGCAAUUUUCUCAGAAAAACUUUGCAAGGUCCGUAAUAGAUAAGAUAAAUCCCUAAUCCAAGAAUGGAUUAGAGCUUGGGAAUGUAGAGCCAAGUUUAUCAAAUGAGAUCUUGAUCUUUGGAUGAAAUCUAGUGUGUUCUAGUCCCCUGGUGGUCAUAGCUUGAAGGUGUAGACUUUGGAUUCUUGGUGUUACUAGAUCCCCUAUUAUUUUGUUAAUCUUUUUGUGCACCUUGUGGGAAGGUGUAGUGGGAAGUGCUUAAUAUUGUCCUCUUUACAAGUUGCACUUUCAUAAUGUGAGUAUAAGCAUUCAUGGACAUACAUUUCAUGUAGAGUGCCAAGAAGGAGAUUCUGAAGAGGAGUCUACUCCAGUGUCUGCUGAUCAAGUGAUUGAGCUAUCUAACUGGUUAUGGGGUAGAAGUAUCUAGAACCUCUUCACUUCAACAAAGGCAAGCCCCGGUGCAUUUGCCACCUCCCUUGUGUUUACAAAAUUUUAUCACUUAUAUGCUGCAUUAGGUGAUAGGAGUUGAUUGAUUAAACAAUUGAUGCAUUACCAUCCUUGAAAGAUUGAUUACCAUACCUUGUCACCUGUUUUAUAAAAGCUAGAGAUGCUUAGUCAUACUGAUAGACUAAGAAAAAUGUUUUUUAUCUAUGACUCAUGUUUUUACAAAAAGAAAAUGGGCUUGGGAUAAUGAAGGCAUCAAGACGUUGAUAAAUUCAUUAUCCAGGCAUGGCCCCUCUGUCAGGCGCCAAAAUUUUGAAAUAGUUUAAAAUGGGACCAGACGCUGAGCAAGAAAGGUCGCCCGUCUGUGUCGAUUAAGGACCGUACCGAUUGUUGGCCUGAUGAUCUAGGACCUUUUAACUGGCCACAUACCUCAUCAUGGGUAAGCCUGAACCCGGCUAUUCCAUACGUGAAAAGACAACCGCGCACUGGGCGUGAGAGAUGGUGGGAGUAGCAGUUACCCUCCUGGCAAGAGGCUGAAUGGUAGGGUAAUGUGCUCCCGGGUAGCGCGGACCAGUUCAUGUAGUGGAGGAUCCGUGGGAAUGGUUGACAUAUGCAAGGGUUAAGUGCUACAUAUGUCGUGUGGUUGGAGAUCCCCAGCUGGGUAUUAAUCGAUUCGGAUCACCGUUACUUCUCGGAUAUGAAGACUGGAUCGCUGCCCUUCAUCGUAGAUAACAAGCAAAACAAAAUUUGGAUUUUAAAAGCAACCUAGUGCAGGUCAAGUGAAUGAUCUAGAUUAGGAAACUGCUAGAUUCAGGCUAGAAGAUUCAGGUAAUAAACUAACUUGUGAAAUAAAACUUGGCCUUAAGGACCCACUUCUAGUAAGCUUUUCUGCAAAAUGAGUCCUUGAACUUUGAUGAGCUUUACCUUGAUUCCCAAAAGCCAGCAUACCCUUGAGAGUCUUUUCUUUAGUCGGGUAAGUCUUGCUGAGUAAUUGCGUACUCAGGGUUUUAUCCCUUGUUGUUUUUGUAGGAGAAGUUUUAUUCCCUUAUCUUUGGGUUAGUUACUUCAUGUGGAGGACUUGAAGCUUAGAAGGUUUUUAUAUAUAUCUCUUAUGGAAAGGCUUCACCCUUCCAAUUAUUGUAGUUAAGUUAUGCCCUUCGAGUACUAUCAGGACUUGUAAUAAAUACAUCUCUUUCUACCAUGUAAAACUUGAGUUCUGGAAUGUAAAGUGUACUUUGUAAAAGUCUUCCGCUCUAUCUCCAAUGUGUGUGUAUCAAAUGUGAUUACUGUAAUAUACCUGUUAUGUGGGAGAUCCUUGGGAUGAUGAGUUCCAGUUGGCGAACUCGAUAGCCUUGUUAAGUUACCCGGUACACGUGCACAGCCAUCUGAGGCCAGUAAGGCAAGGAUUGGUGCAUGUGGGCCUGAUAACUUGGGAGGGCUGUCACAGCGUGGUAUCGGAGCGAUCCCCCAUUAUCAUGGAUAUUAAAGUAAUCCUUUGAUAAACUUCAAAAGGAUUUUGAGUCCAAACUAUUUUGGAAAAACUUAAGAAUAUGAUCAAAUCCUGAUAGUCGAAGUGCAAAUAGUAUAUAGUUAAGUUAAAGACUAUAAGGUGGCUUAGUUUAGGAUGCUAACCACUAACCCACAACUAUAAUGCAAUUUUGUGCAGGUACACUAACUAAACCCUAGGAAAGUGCGACUAGUGAUAAAUAACGAGUGAGUAGGUAUGCCACCGCCAUAGAACAUGAAAGCCACUAUAUGUUGGCAAGAAUUGUGAGGACGAAUAGGACGAGCAUGCAUCAUGACAUACAAUUUUAAAUUAAGCCCCCUAUGUAGCAGUAUUAGUACAUGUUUCAUCCACCCUAUUCCUGCUAUCUGUCUUUGCCUUUCUAUGCUACCAUUUCCUGUUCAUGAAGACUACCAAGCUUCGAAACAAAGGUUUUGGUGAACCUGUGGCUUAUAAGGAACAAUUGUCAGAAGAUCUUCCAAUAGUGCACAACAUGUUCCACGUGUCUCCGUUAAAGAAAUGUCUUCGAGUCCCCAAAUAUGUUAUUGAGAUUUCAGAUGUUAGCCAUAAACCAGGUUUAACCUCCUCGCAAUAUCCCAUAAAGGUGUUAGAUCAACAGGAUCAGGUCACUCGAAGAAAAGUUAUCGAGUUUUACGAGAUAAAGUGGAACCAAUACACACGAAAGAUGAAGCCACAUGGGAAUCGAAGGAGUAUUUGGAAGAACAUGUGCUUGAGUUCCUAGGUUCUUGUAAGUCCUAGGUUUUGUGCAGUUUGUCUUUGGUUUGAACCAAUAGGGGCACACCCCUGCUUUGUAGGAGUAUUGGGGAAAUAAGCCAGUGACGCAUUUCCUUUUCCGUUACUAAGCCUAGAGUUUUAAAUCUCGGGACGAGAUUUCUUUUAGGGGGGAAGGUUGUAACACCCCUGGUGUUACGUGAACUAAAACUCUGACAUGUCAUCAUAAACAUUUGCAUUAUCUUGCUUGUUACACCUAGAAUGCAUUUACUAGGUUAAAAUUUUCGAUUCAAAAGUGUGGUGUUGUGUAUUAGAGUACAGGGCUCAGAUUAAGAACUUUGUUUAAGACAUGGGAAGAGAAGUCGUCUCUUGAGCAAGUAAUAAGUUGGCUUGGAAUUUAAGGUAUUAAAUGUAAGACUUAGAACCUAGAGCAAAUUUGUUUUCAAAGGGAGAUCAAGUGGAAGGAAUACUUGAGCUCAAGGAUCAACUUAGAAACCUUAAUGUAAGGGUUGAAAGUUUGUUUGCAAUUAUGUGUAAGCAAACAACUCCUAAACCAAGGAUACUUUGGAUCUGAGUCCUAUAAGAUAAAGUUGAAUUUGAGAUUAAGAAGCAACUUUUCUUUAGGAGGAUGGAUAAGUUUGCUUUUGAUAUGUGGAUUAGAAGUGGUGAACUACUUAGGGUGGUUGAGUAUCUCUAACCCCUAAACUGGAGCCCAAAAGUGGAUUUGGAGAUCUAGCCACAUUUUGCAAGAGGUAAAAAUACCAAGUUGGUAGGAUUUCCAAAGUUGCACAAUUUUGUUAUUUGGAGAUUUCCAAGUUGUGUGGAGAAAUUUGGAGAAAUUCACAAAGGUUCAGUUUUGGAGUUCCUGAAAAUAGCAGCAACUAGGCAAUUUUAGUCCUUUGUAACUUUUGAUCUAGAACCAUUUUGAAGAUGCUCGUUAUAACAAAGUCAUAGAGCUACAUGAGGAGUAUAAGUUUGGUUAAGUCAUCUAGCUCUAAAACUAUUUGAAACUUGGAUAAAAGCCGGUCCAAAGUAGGGUUCGCAGAAAUUGUGGAUUUCAGACUUAGUAGAGUUCAGAGGCUGAAUUUCAGUAUUUGGAUCCAACUUUGGGCUUUGAUAUUUUGGAAUCCAGGAGGUUUUGGUUAAUGACCACUAUACCAACCUUGUAGAGCAAUGAUAGGAGGACAAAUCGUAUUAAGUGAUAUAGCCCCAAAACUAUAUGCUACUGGUAGAAAGGAUAGUCCAAACAUUGAUUGUCAGAUUUCUGAAUUUUCAGAUUGAAAACAGUAAUUGGAACUGAAUUCAGAGUUUGAUAGUAGUUUUGGGAGCUUGUUUGUGACUAAUCCCUAAGGAUUUGGGCUAAGGGGUCCAUAAAGGGAUUGAAUAAAAUAUGUUGGUGAACAACGUUCUUUAAGUAUGAUUGACACGAUGCUAUACAAAAUGUGGAGAAAAACUUUCCCAAAUUUGGAUUAUCAGAUUGCUGUUGACUUAGUUUAUUCAGAGCUAAAAAUUUGAACAUCAGUGAAUGGUACCAAGUUUAGAGCUCUAUUGUGCCAAAUCCUGGUAGUUUUGGACAAAGAACUUUAUAGCAAAAUGGAAGACUAUAUCUAGGAGAACAAACUUGUUUAAGCACUGCUGGGUUGGUGCUACACAAAUUUGGGAGAAAAAGCUAUUCCAAGUUGUGCUAUCAGGCAGUGAUGCACUUAGCAAGGUUCAGAUUAACCAAGUCUGAGUUCAGUUUUCUUGGCUCAACUUUGAUGGCUCCUUGAGACUAUUCUAGGGCGUUGUAGGUCAUGCUUUAUAUAGCAAAGUGGUAGACCGAAGUAAGAGGAACAAAUUUCCUAGAAGGCGAUGGACUUGAUGCUACACAAAAAUAGGAGUAAAAUGGGUCCCAACCUUCCAUGUUCGGCUGUGAGUGGUCUGAAUUUGGUUCUGUUGUCUGUAGUUCAAUCAGUGUGUGAGUCCCAGUUUGGAGCUACUUUUGUGACCAAAUCAUGGGGUUUUGAACUGAGGGUUCUCUAGUAAAGUGAAAGGCCAUAUAUAGAAAGACAAAUCUCCUUAAGCGAUGUUAGUGUGGUGCUAUAAAAACUUUGGAGUAAAUGUCCUAAGACAUGUUAUUGUCAGUCUAGACUGAACUUCUUCUAGAUUCAGAAAACUGAAGUUGUGAUCAGUAAAAUGAGGCAAACUUUAGAGCAAUAUAGCUUUUGAUCCAUGUACGUUUGGUACAGGGAAACUAUGACAAAGUUGGAUAUCAUAGCAUGGUAAAUAAGUUUCAUAAAGUGAGAUAGACCUGGUGCCAAACAGAAAUUAGAUUAAAAUUCUCAGAGAGAAACCCUAUCAGUCUGUGUUAACUCUGGGCUGAGUUCAGAGAACUGAAACCAGGUUCAGUGAAAUUUGGCUAACUUUGGAUCACCAUAACUUUUGUUUUAUAUGCUUUUAGUUAUGGGUUGCUAUACAAAAGACAUAUAGCUAUGAAUAUAGAAUAACUUUGGUGAAGAGAUAGUGGUCUGUUGCUAUGAAGAAUUGGGAGAUCAGAGGGCCUGAACUGGGAGGAAUGGAAUGAAGCAGCAGGCUGAUACAAUUGAGUUCAAUGUGGCAUUCGAAUUCUGAAGAAGAUCACUUCCUCUCUGUUAGGUUACUCGAGUAUUGGAUGGAGUCAAGGUUGAGAUACAUGACUAUGGGUCUAGGGGCCUUAUUUGCUGCUGGGAAAAUAGCAGAUUUGGACUGUUUUGGUGGGCAGUGAGGCCUUAUCUGUUGGAUCUGUGGUGGAAUUAACUAGACAGCAAAAAUCCAGUGGUUUCACGCCUUCACCCCAGUAGCAAAUAUCAAGUUUUGGACCAUAGUGCAUACCCAAGUGGGAGACUUAUCUACUCCCUUUCCUAUCUGUUUACCGAACGAAGGGAUGGAUAUUUUGUCUGUGUGAGAUAGACUAAAUGCGGUGUAUUUGAGCUGUGGUUAUGAGCCUAUGUGGUGUGGGUGCAUGGGAGCCACGUACAAUAGGUCAUGCAGUGCUGGUAUUCCCACGGUUCUCCUACAUCAGGUCUGAGUUGAGCUCUAUACCCUGCCUACACAUUCAGUUGUACUUGUCCAUAUCCAGUGCCCUUCGCUUGGGUUCAGUAAAGCUUCCCCUUGCCCUCAGGUUUUAGCUCGAGACCACUGCGUAAGUGCUGGAAUUCCUGUGUUCCCGCUAGUACUCACCACUCCCCAGUCACCAAACUUUGCCCCUCACAGAAACUUGCACGCCAUCUUCCUGCCAGUGGUGACCACGCCCACCCGUUCUUAACCUCACCAUGGCCAGGGUUCGUGGAGAUUGUCUCGGCCGUGUUGUGCCCGUUCCUUGUUUCUCACAGGUCAGUGAAGCUCACACCAUUUACUGCUUGAACUCUACCACUAUUGGUUGCCUGGAACUAGGUGUGAAAUUUGCUCAAACAUAGGCUGUCAGAUUUCUGGAUCCCAGACUUAGUGCAUAAGGCUGAAACUAGGUUUUAGUGUGUUGAGCUCCACUUUGGUGCUUCGUAAAAAUUGUUCUAAAUGUUUUCAACAUAGGGGUGCUAUACCAAAGUAGUAGAGCUAUAUCUAAGGAAUAACUUUGGUAAUGUGAGCUUGGUCUGUUGAUGUGUAAAAGUUGGAGAAAAGGUUGGUUAAAGUUGGACUGUCAGGCUGGAUACAACUGAAUUUUUUUAUUCAGUUCUAUGAACUGAAUUGCAGCAGUAUGCCUAGUUUGGAAUUCAUUUGUGACUGAUUCAUGGGGUUUUGGAUUAAGGGUCCCAUAGCAAAGUUGUAGACCAUAGUAAAGUGAACAAGUUUGCUAAAGUGAGAUGGACCUGAUUCCACAUAAAUUUGGGAGUAAAAGUAGCCAAAAGAUGGACUGUCAGGUGUUGGGAUUCAGAUUUAGAAUAAUAUUUAAGUCUGAAUUUGUGUGUUUUUAUUCAAAUUUGGGUCCUUGUGGUAAUUAAUCCAAGAAGAAUUGGGGUAAGAAUUCUAUAGCAAAGUGAAAGACCAUUUCAAGGAGAGAAAGUGUCAUACAGAGAGUUGGCUUGCUACUGUAAAGAAUUUAGAGAAAAAGGAGUUGAAAAACUCUCUGUCAGAUUAAACAUGUGCUGUUUUAGAUUCUAAAAUUGAAAUGUUUCAGUGUUUUUGUUAUGUUUUGGUGCACCAUAGCUUGUGUUUUGUAUGAUUUUGACCUUGGACUACUGUAGCAAACUGGUAGUGCUAUGGUUUGGGAGCAGGCUUGGCCAACUAAGUUGGUCUGGUGCUAUAGAAAAUUCUAAAAAACAUGGGACAAAGUUUAGUGGCUGUAUAAAAUCAAAAGCUCUCUGGUAAAGUUGGUUUUCGAAUUUUUAGGUUGGUUACCAAAUAUUAAGGGAUUUAAAAGUGCUCUUGGAAGGACUGUUUGGAUUUUAGAAAUAAAAGUACAGUGCCAAAACUUAUGGAAAUUUCUGAGUAACCUUGUUUUGGUCAUUUGAGCUUGUGGUAAAAGUUUGAGGCUGUUUGUAAGCAAUUUUCUCAGAAAAACUUUGCAAGGUCCAUAAUAGAUAAGAUAAAUCCCUAAUCCAAGAAUGGAUUAGAGCUUGGGAAUGUAGAGCCAAGUUUAUCAAAUGAGAUCUUGAUCUUUGGAUGAAAUCUAGUGUGUUCUAGUCCCCUGGUGGUCAUAGCUUGAAGGUGUAGACUUUGGAUUCUUGGUGUUACUAGAUCCCCUAUUAUUUUGUUAAUCUUUUUGUGCACCUUGUGGGAAGGUGUAGUGGGAAGUGCUUAAUAUUGUCCUCUUUACAAGUUGCACUUUCAUAACGUGAGUAUAAGCAUUCAUGGACAUACAUUUCAUGUAGAGUGCCAAGAAGGAGAUUCUGAAGAGGAGUCUACUCCAGUGUCUGCUGAUCAAGUGAUUGAGCUAUCUAACUGGUUAUGGGGUAGAAGUAUCUAGAACCUCUUCACUUCAACAAAGGCAAGCCCCGGUGCAUUUGCCACCUCCCUUGUGUUUACAAAAUUUUAUCACUUAUAUGCUGCAUUAGGUGAUAGGAGUUGAUUGAUUAAACAAUUGAUGCAUUACCAUCCUUGAAAGAUUGAUUACCAUACCUUGUCACCUGUUUUAUAAAAGCUAGAGAUGCUUAGUCAUACUGAUAGACUAAGAAAAAUGUUUUUUAUCUAUGACUCAUGUUUUUACAAAAAGAAAAUGGGCUUGGGAUAAUGAAGGCAUCAAGACGUUGAUAAAUUCAUUAUCCAGGCAUGGCCCCUCUGUCAGGCGCCAAAAUUUUGAAAUAGUUUAAAAUGGGACCAGACGCUGAGCAAGAAAGGUCGCCCGUCUGUGUCGAUUAAGGACCGUACCGAUUGUUGGCCUGAUGAUCCAGGACCUUUUAACUGGCCACAUACCUCGUCAUGGGUAAGCCUGAACCCGGCUAUUCCAUACGUGAAAAGACAACCGCGCACUGGGCGUGGG